rnacentral:miRNA from 1 species
GACCACCCAGGAUAUUCAAUAUGGGGUAUGUCCAGUCUUUUUUAACAGCCACUUAGUCACAAACACUGGCCAAAGUUAGCAUUUAUAUUUGUUUGUGUUUUAAAAAUGCAAAAAACAUUUAUGAACGCUAUCUUUGGCCAGUGUUUGUGACUAAGUGGCUACUAAAAAAGACUGAACAUAACCCAUUUGCAAUGCCUUGGGUUGUC